rnacentral:rRNA from 1 species
GACGGAGGGGGCUAGCGUUGUUCGGAUUCAUUGGGCGUAAAGGGUGCGUAGGCGGCGCGGUAAGUCGGGUGUGAAAUCUCGGAGCUUAACUCCGAAACUGCAUUCGAUACUGCCGUGCUUGAGGACUGGAGAGGAGACUGGAAUUUACGGUGUAGCGGUGAAAUGCGUAGAUAUCGUAAGGAAGACCAGUGGCGAAGGCGGGUCUCUGGACAGUUCCUGACGCUGAGGCACGAAGGCCAGGGGAGCAAACGGG